GGUGCUAUGGUGUAGUGGUAGCACAUGGGAUUCUGAUUCUGUGUUAGCCAAUAUGGUUCCCAUAACCCAGGUUCGAACCCUGGAAGUGCCU